rnacentral:rRNA from 1 species
AUGAACGCUAGCUACAGGCUUAACACAUGCAAGUCGAGGGGCAGCAUGGUCUUAGCUUGCUAAGGCCGAUGGCGACCGGCGCACGGGUGAGUAACACGUAUCCAACCUGCCGUCUACUCUUGGACAGCCUUCUGAAAGGAAGAUUAAUACAAGAUGGCAUCAUGAGUCCGCAUGUUCACAUGAUUAAAGGUAUUCCGGUAGACGAUGGGGAUGCGUUCCAUUAGAUAGUAGGCGGGGUAACGGCCCACCUAGUCUUCGAUGGAUAGGGGUUCUGAGAGGAAGGUCCCCCACAUUGGAACUGAGACACGGUCCAAACUCCUACGGGAGGCAGCAGUGAGGAAUAUUGGUCAAUGGGCGAGAGCCUGAACCAGCCAAGUAGCGUGAAGGAUGACUGCCCUAUGGGUUGUAAACUUCUUUUAUAAAGGAAUAAAGUCGGGUAUGGAUACCCGUUUGCAUGUACUUUAUGAAUAAGGAUCGGCUAACUCCGUGCCAGCAGCCGCGGUAAUACGGAGGAUCCGAGCGUUAUCCGGAUUUAUUGGGUUUAAAGGGAGCGUAGAUGGAUGUUUAAGUCAGUUGUGAAAGUUUGCGGCUCAACCGUAAAAUUGCAGUUGAUACUGGAUAUCUUGAGUGCAGUUGAGGCAGUCGGAAUUCGUGGUGUAGCGGUGAAAUGCUUAGAUAUCACGAAGAACUCCGAUUGCGAAGGCAGCCUGCUAAGCUGCAACUGACAUUGAGGCUCGAAAGUGUGGGUAUCAAACAGGAUUAGAUACCCUGGUAGUCCACACGGUAAACGAUGAAUACGCGCUGUUUGCGAUAUACUGCAAGAGGCCAAGCGAAAGCGUUAAGUAUUCCACCUGGGGAGUACGCCGGCAACGGUGAAACUCAAAGGAAUUGACGGGGGCCCGCACAAGCGGAGGAACAUGUGGUUUAAUUCGAUGAUACGCGAGGAACCUUACCCGGGCUUAAAUUGCAGAUGAAUUACGGUGAAAGCCGUAAGCCGCAAGGCAUCUGUGAAGGUGCUGCAUGGUUGUCGUCAGCUCGUGCCGUGAGGUGUCGGCUUAAGUGCCAUAACGAGCGCAACCCUUGUUGUCAGUUACUAACAGGUUCCGCUGAGGACUCUGACAAGACUGCCAUCGUAAGAUGUGAGGAAGGUGGGGAUGACGUCAAAUCAGCACGGCCCUUACGUCCGGGGCUACACACGUGUUACAAUGGGGGGUACAGAGGGCCGCUACCACGCGAGUGGAUGCCAAUCCCCAAAACCUCUCUCAGUUCGGACUGGAGUCUGCAACCCGACUCCACGAAGCUGGAUUCGCUAGUAAUCGCGCAUCAGCCACGGCGCGGUGAAUACGUUCCCGGGCCUUGUACACACCGCCCGUCAAGCCAUGGGAGCCGGGGGUACCUGAAGUGCGUAACCGCGAGGAGCGCCCUAGGGUAAAACUGGUGACUGGGGCU